rnacentral:misc_RNA from 1 species
GCUUAUUGAUAUUGCGUUUAUGUCUGUGCUGUUUUGUUAUGUUCUUGUUUGUGGUGCGUCCUCCACUGGGGAGGUUUAAACUUUUAACUAUAUUUAUUCUUUGAGGUGGCCGUUCUGUUUGUAAAGUGAAUCUCAUUAGUAAUGGCUAUUUGUUAAUGACAAAUAAGCAUCAAUGUGGCCUUCCAGUUGGAAGACACUAGUUCUUAAAUUCAUGAGGUAAAUGCUCUAUCUGUUAAGCUAUCUGCCCACAUUGUUGCAGAUGAUUUAUCCAUGUGUUCCAUUUGUGUUUGUGUUCUUUCCUACCUCCUGGGAAAGCCAAACAAAAUUAUCCCACACAAGAAAUACUACAACUGCUACUUUCUACUAAACCUAUAAUUUGGAAUUUG